CACUCCUGCGGGAGGCAGCAGUGGGGAAUAUUGCACAAUGGGCGCAAGCCUGAUGCAGCCAUGCCGCGUGUAUGAAGAAGGCCUUCGGGUUGUAAAGUACUUUCAGCGGGGAGGAAGGCAAUACGGUUAAUAACCGUGUUGAUUGACGUUACCCGCAGAAGAAGCACCGGCUAACUCCGUGCCAGCAGCCGCGGUAAUACGGAGGGUGCAAGCGUUAAUCGGAAUUACUGGGCGUAAAGCGCACGCAGGCGGUCUGUCAAGUCGGAUGUGAAAUCCCCGGGCUCAACCUGGGAACUGCAUUCGAAACUGGCAGGCUUGAGUCUUGUAGAGGGGGGUAGAAUUCCAGGUGUAGCGGUGAAAUGCGUAGAGAUCUGGAGGAAUACCGGUGGCGAAGGCGGCCCCCUGGACAAAGACUGACGCUCAGGUGCGAAAGCGUGGGGAGCAAACAGGAUUAGAUACCCCGGUAGUCCCAUGA
rnacentral:rRNA from 1 species